CAUGCGAACACUGAAGUUAAGCAAUAUCGAGCCUGGUCAGUACCUAGAUGGGUGAUCACUUGGGAAUACCAGGUGCUGUG